rnacentral:lncRNA from 13 species
AAAUUUAUCCUGAGAAGGUAAGAAACUGAAAAUGUCUACAUAUGCAAAGUGAAUGAAGAAUUUAAUCAAUCACUUUGUUGUUUUAUCCCUCAAGCACUGGUAUUAAUGAAAACUGUGGAGUCUUCUGAGAAUGAAGCUAGCUGAUUCUGUUGCUUCAUCAGUCUGAUAAACGAUCGGUUGUGUAUUUAACUGUCUUCCUUGAAUUUAAUUCAGAGUGGCAGUUUGCAGAAGAGGAGACCAAGGUAUGGAGAGCUUGAGCACAACGAUGGCAGUAGUGAGGAUUAUACUUUGAAGCAUCGAUCAAGACUAACAUGUACCAUGUAAAACAUGACGUUGUGCUCCAAAAUCCUGAACUGAUGAUAUAUUAAAUUUUACCAUAAUUACAGGUAUUGUGUUGGUGUAGUAUUUAGGAAAUAAAUAAAACCAUAAUGUAGAAACCA